UCCCAAUUAUCUUCUUUUUCUUUGCUUCUAAUAUAUUUCUUUCUAAGAAUAAUUCUUCUGCUCUUGUUGCAGCUUCCAAUAAAGCAAUAAAGGUAGGUGGUUGCACUGCCAACUUUUCAUGAAUCUCCAAUCUCAAACCCCUCUCAAAUCUAUUUCUCUUCAGUUCAUCAGUUGCCACUUCCUCUGGUGCAUACCUAGAUAACCUUGUAAAUUGUAAUUCAUAGUCGGCAACAGACAUCUCAUUUUGUUUCAAUUCAAGAAAUUCAAGUUUCUUCCUCUCUUGAUAUAUUGGUGGCAUAUACUUCAUCUUGAACUCCUUUAAGA
rnacentral:lncRNA from 1 species